ensembl:lncRNA
AUGAUUUAUAUAAAGCGUCGUGGACUAGGGUGGGAAAAGGAAUUUAAAAGUAGAGGUCCCUUGCCGUGCCAUUGUUGCCACAAUGCCGUGACUCGGAUUCGAACCGAGGUUGCUGCGGCCACAACGCAGAGUACUAACCACUAUACGAUCACGGCGAGCUACCGGAGACCUGUCAGGCGAACUUUCGGAUUGUCUUCUUCAACAGUUAUAGGCCUUCCCAUUCUGCACGUCACCAAAGGGUCCACCUAUGGGGCGGGUUCAGGCCUAAGGCCGAGUCUGAGAAUGCGCAGGCGCAUUGCUCUUUUGCCAGUUGCUCCGGUUCUCUCCAGUUUGGGUCCAUUAGCUACCCGAGAUGGUGACGAUGCAGUCCUUGAGAAGCGCUUAAUACUACCUUUCCGACCAGGGCCCGUAAGCGUCGUGGGGAUGAGAUGAAGAGAAGACCUGCAAAGAGGAAUUCUCUUCGUUCCAUUUCAAGACCUUAGCUCACGAGAUUAUCCUGGCUGCUUGCUGCUUGACAAAUUCCCUUUCUGCCUGUAAAGAGCUACUUCCAAGGUCACUUGUUCUGCGAAGACUUCUAUUACCGGAAGCCCAUUUCCAGUGCUGCUAUGGAAAUUUGUACAUAUGUUAAUUUUAGCACUUUGCCUCUUGAGUGUUCUGUGCUUUGUUUGGGUUGUGCCGGAUAACGUGCGUAGCCCAGUGUAAGCGGAAGCCUAUAUUCUUCCGAAAUCCAGUGUAGCUAGACCUGGCGUAAAUAUCGUUUCUGUCACAAGGGGAUUGGGAUCCAUUUUCGAGAAAAUUGUCACAAACUGAAGAUAAAAAAAAAAUGGAGGAGAACGCUAAAAUGCAGCCCCCUUGCCGUGCCACUGCUUUCGCAAUGCCGUGACUCGGAUUCGAACCGAGGUUGCUGCGGCCACAACGCAGAGUACUAACCACUAUACGAUCACGGCGAGCUACUGGAGACUUGUGUCUUUUGCUUCUCGCCUGAGCUCUUCUCUGUUUAAAGCCCCGCCCCCUGGCUGUGACAUUGCUAAUUCCCGCCCAUCUUAAACCUCGCCGCUCUGCCCGGGCGUACGCAGGCGCACUGUCUUUCAGCUGUCUCAAUAUCAGUCCGCACUCUUCCGCGGGACAGAUCUUGCGGUUUCACUACCGCGGUGCUAGGUAUCUUGGGGUUAUCUUACUCCGCAUCUCGAAGAAAGUUGUGCUGUGGACCGGAACUGAUUUUUCUUCUUGUGAGAGUUAAGAGACAGUCCCAUUCCCAGCCAGAGCCUGUUCAGACAGCACGAGCGCCAGGGCACAAAGGGUGUGAGGAAGAGACCGGCGCCGCUAUUCGGGUGACCCGGUGGCGCAGGCCUCACAUCCCCUCCAGGCUGCGUGAGUCCGGUUCGCAGGCCCGGCGUCCCAGGGGUCCUUUAGUUUGCAAAGUACUUUAACG